rnacentral:rRNA from 1 species
GACGAACGCUGGCGGCGUGCUUAACACAUGCAAGUCGAACGGAAAGGCCCUGCUUUUGUGUGGUGCUCGCGUGGCGAACGGGUGUGUAACACGUGAGUAACCUGCCCUUGACUUUGGGAUAACUUCAGGAAACUGGGGCUAAUACCGGAUAGGAGCUCCUGCUGCAUGGUGGGGGUUGGAAAGUUUCGGCGGUUGGGGAUGGACUCGCGGCUAAUCAGCUUGUGGGGGGGGUAGUGGCUUACCCAGGCUUUGAUGGGUAGCCGGCCUGAGAGGGUGACCGGCCACAUGGGGACUGAGAGACGGCCCAGACGGCUACGGGAGGCAGCAGUGGGGAAUAUUGCACAAUGGGCGGAAGCCUGAUGCAGCAAUGCCGCGUGCGGGAUGACGGCCUUCGUGUUGUAAACCGCUGUCGCUUGUGACGAAGCGUGAGUGACGGUAAUGGGUAAAGAAGCACCGGCUAACUACGUG